rnacentral:lncRNA from 1 species
CAGCCCUACUUUAUCUUUGCCUCUGUGUUUGCUGACUUGUCAGAGUUUAGAUCAGGUUUUGAUACUUGUAUCUUUAGCAGGCCAAGAAAAGGCAGCUGGCCCAGAGAGGCCAAAAUCAGGGAGAGAGAAGUUUCAAGGCUUAUCAAGUCAUCCGAGAAGGCUUGCUGUGCUCAUCCUUUGUAAACAAUAAGACAUGUCAGCAUCCCUGGUUGCUGUCAUUGUUGACAGUUCUCUAAAGACCAGUAAGUGUUGAAUUCUUUAAAGCUGGAUUGUGCCCGGUGAGAGAAAUGAUAGUGUGAGAUCAGGGGGCCUUCAUGGAUAUCUGAGUACCUUGGGAAAAGAGUCGAAUUAAGGCUUUUCACUCAGCAACCUAAUGAAAACUAGACAAAUAGUCUUGCAUUUAAUAUAUAGUUUCCACCAAUUCAUGCUUCUUUUGUUAGGAACAAUUCAAGCCUGUAUAGGAAAAGAGACAGUUAGAUAUAAAGAAGUAAUUUCUCAUUGACAAGGGAGCUUCAGGUAAAGCAAUGCUUAUGAAAGGACAAGAGAUUGAGUUUAUACUGGUAAAUUGCCAUUGCACAACCAUUUCAUUGCUUUAACUUCACAGACUCCAAAACUUUAUGCCCUUGAACAAGCAAUCAAAUGCAAAAAGACAGAACUAAAUAACCCCUCCCGAUAGCCAGGUCUAUAUGCAAAACACAAAGAAUAAAAUAUGAGUCUUUAAGGGAUAUGAAUGAGAAAUUGCGGCAAAGAGAAGGACUUGAAAAUAGUUACAAAAGCAGUAUCUAGGAUGAACUCGCAUCCUCAUGGAUCCUAGUCGGGUUUGUUUCUGCUGCGCCACGACAGGAACUCCCAUAAGGGUAUCUUUUAAACAAAGAUUUAUUUGUAUCAAUUGGUUAGACCACCAAAAAAUCCCAAUUCAUAUUACUGUUCACCAUUUCUCAGACUUUUUAAAAUGUAUGAAAUGAUCAAAUGAUUUUCAUGGAAACUGGUAAUGUGUCGAAGUAGAAUAAACUCCACAGGAGGUGUCAAAAAUCUCUUAAAAGUAAUUGGCAAUAUGUUAUAUUCAAGACUAAUUCUGCCAAGAAAUUUAAGCUGUAAAUUUUGAGGCUAAUAAUGUUCCAGAGGAAAGGACAUUUCCAGUGUUUCUAUUUUUGUUCUUCAUAGGAAGAUUGCCUGAAAGAAUUUGCUCCAUUAAAUGAUCUAAAAUGUUUGAGAGGACAAAAUGUCUUAGAUUCACUUGUUAAAUAUUAGGCUUCAUAACUUUGAGGAUUAUCCUUUCAAUAUCAAAUUCAUCCUUGAAAUAAGAAUCAUCUCUACAAACAAGGCCAGAACAUAACAUUCCAUUAAUCUAACAGUAUAGUAUUUAACUUGGAUUUUUAAUUGUUUCUAUACAAUAAGCAUUAUUCGAUAGUAUGGAAUCACAGAUUUUUCUUCCCAAGUUUGUUCUUUUAACCUCUUCAAUUUUGUAAUUGAAACAGCCAGACCGUAUCUUACAUAGCUACAGUCCAAUCAUUGAGCCUGAGGGUCUGUGUGAACCAUAGAAUGCGGAGAGCAAUUUAAGGAAAAAAAAAAUCAUAAAUUUCUAUCAAGUAAAUGUCACUCCAUUUUCCUAAUUUUCCUAUAAGCAGAAAAACCAAAGACCUAUUGUCACAGCCUAGACAGACACUGCUAAGCAGCUUUCUAAAGAGCAAAUGGUAAAAAUAAAAUAAAAUGAAAAAGAUUUGCCUGUCAUGGGAGUUGGUCAAUAAAAUGCAACAGUGUUUAUUACAACAUUUAAAGUCUGUGAUUAAGAACACCAAAAGGCCUAAACUAGAAAGGUUUUCAGCCUGUAAUUUCCCUGCAGUCCUGGCCUGUACUUCCUUACGAGUUAGCUCAGCAGGGCUUUUUUUCCAUGUCCAUCAUCAGCUUGUAAUUAUUGCCAUUCUCAAAGCUAUGCCAGAUGGGUCUUUAGAAGCAGGCAUGCAGCUUGUUUAUGAGCGAAAGAGCUGUAAUAUUACUCUACACAGAGACCUAUCUGGUCCUAGUCAAAGGGCCUUGCUCCCCGCCCCCCCCAUUCUCUCUUCCUCCCUAGACAACCCUCUCAGUUUCAGCUCCCUGUCCCAGCUGAAUGGGCUGCUGAAGGGCUGGGACCAUGGGAGCCAAGACAUAUCUCUAUCUUAAAGCAUAUGGCCUAAUCGUCACCUUUCACCAUUCACAUAUGGAAAUGAGGCCAACACCCAAAGGAAAAACAAACUGUGGACUCUUUCCCCUACAUAUUCUUGGCAGAGGCUCUUUUAAAACAUCAGAACUGCAAGUCUACCUUUCAGUACACAGAUCUGCAGAGAUACCACAAUUCUGUCUUCUACUUUUCUUUUCUGGCAAGUCCUCAUUGGCUAGAAGUGACAUUCCCAGCAAGAUUCUCAAGGACAAACCUUCACUCCCCUUGCCUGGUAGGAAGGAUAAACAUUUGUAAGAAGGUUGAGGUCAAGUUGCUAUGCAAAGCAACACAGCGAAAGGCAAAAGCGCCUAACCCUGUUCAUCUGGUGAUAGGCCUGGGGUGUAAGGUAUCCCAGAGGGCCAAGCAGAGCUUCAAUCAGCAGUUAAUGAGGCAAGACCCGCAACAGAUAGCCACUUUUAACUUACAAAAGCUUUUAGAUGUCUCUGUUUACUUUGAUCCAUUUCAGUUAAUUUGAGCCUGGUUAGGGUGCCUUUUCCUUUUUUUUUUUUUUUUUUUUUUUUGGUUUGGCUAGAUAAACCCUCUGCUCCCACCCCAUCUCCGUCCCCACCUCCAAAACAAUAGUAUCAUUUACCAACUGUAUACUUAACAAGUAUUGAGAUCUUCUGUCCGGGUCAGCAACUGUUAUAUAAAAUACAAGGCAAGGAAGGCCUGUACACAGUCUGCCUAUAGAAUGGUAAUUUCAAAAUCCCCCGAGUGAAAGAUAAAUGAAAAGAAAAGGGUGGGACAAGACAGGCUUCAUUUUCAAAGGGGAUUUAGCUAUUUGUUUCUAAUUAGGUGAAGCACACGUUCUUUUAUCCCUUAUUUUACCCAUGUGAUGACCAGAGAGCUUUCUUUGUUAAAAUGUUUCAGAGCGAAUAAAACCAAUUUACCGGAAUGUGAAAUAAGCCAGAGAGAAACUGUACCUGAGGGUCACAGACGGGGAGGUCACUUUAACUGGCCAGAGUUGCAGGGCCCCGGGGCUGGGGCUGGAAUUCCACGGUGGGAAGCAGAAACGGCUCCUGCGUGGAGGGAUUUGCAAGUGGGUCAGCCUGUUAAUGGGGAUGGGCUGGUGCAACAAGCUUUUAAUUGGGUGGGCUCCAUGCUUGACCCCACUGUACUGUGAACCCAGGUCUGAGGGGACCGCCUCACUCAUAGGUGCAGAGAACAGUCCGGGAACCUUUUUUCCCAGAAUGCUCUGGGCCGCCUCGCUAUCCCGGCAUGCCCUGGGCAGCCCCACCAUCCGGGCAUGCUCCAGGGCUGCCCACUCCUCUGCCGUGGACUUUUUCUCCCCUGGUUUACGUCCUGUUACCUACACCCUUUCCUUAUUCUUGCCCUGUCUCCUGUGUGUAUUUUUAUUUUAUGAUUUUUAUUUUUUCAUUAUAGUUAAUUUACAGUGUUCCAUCAAUUUCUACUGUACAACACUUUACUUUUUUUUUUUUUUUUUUUUAGGAAACUUCUAUCAUCCAGCUAGCACAUUAUUCCUAGUCUCCACUCCCCAUCCCUGCCAUGACUUCUACUUUUCCAGGAAGUAUUAUGGAGACAAAUAAGUUAAUGGAAGGAACAGGAUGCAACCUUUCUGCACUUCUGUCCUUAAAUAAGUUGGAACUACUUUAAAGUGUUCUCUUUGAAAUCCUCUCCACUGAAGACCCCGAGGAAUAUCAUCAGGAAAGUAGAAGUUAGGAAACCCAAUUUCUAUUUUGAGAUAUUGUUGGGAAAGCGUAGUAAGUAUCCAGCUUUGACCUGAUGUUACCUUCCAGGAAGGGUCUUGGGCACUGAAGAUGCUUUUAUCUAUAGUUCUCAUACUAGGUCCUCAGCAGUAAUGGUUUACAUUUAUUUUGCUCUCUACCAAGUCUUUAAGUGAAAGUAAGGUUAGUUGAUCAUUGAAGAAUGUUGAACUCUUUGGUUUAAAGGCAUUAAGAUCAGAGAAAAUAAGUCCAGAGGUCUUAAACUAUCUUGAUGAGAAUAACAGUAAAAUAACAGCUAAUAUUUAUUCAGUGCUUAUUAAGGGACAAUUGUGUUAAAUGCUUUAGGAUUCUCUGUAAUUUGUAGUAUGUUUCACGUACAAGCUUACUAAAUUCUUUCAGUUAAUGACGGUGGCAGUUGCUAAGCUAUAGGCCAAGUUAUUCCUUUCAUUCACGGUCUAGAGAGAGAUGACACGGGCAUGUUGAGUCACUCAAAACAGGCUCAAACCACCCCAAGGAGUUUGCUUGAUGAAAGGUUUUCCUUUCCUUCAAAGCCACUUCCUGUGUCACAUGACCUGUAUCACUCCAAAGAUAAUAACACUUCAUGCUUCCAGAACACUUUUAUCCAAAGAUCUCAAAGCAUUUUCAAAUGUUAAUUAAGCCUUCACCAUCCUGGAAGAUAGCAAUGCCAAUCUUGCUGUUUAAAUACUGUAUUCCAGAACACAGGUUGUUCUAAUCACUGAGAGGAAAAUGGAGGCCUCUAUGAGCAAAUCCAGGGUGUAAGCCACCAGCCAAACAUGUAUACACCCAGAAUUCUCCUAUGUCUUCUGGGAAACCACCCCAGCAUAAAUUGUCCCCUGCGCCUACUGAUUGUUUCCCCUGGAAGAACCACAUCAAAGAAAAAAAGGAGUAAGUAGG